GAGAGAGAGUUCAAGAGUACGUGAAACCGUUCGGGGGUAAACCUGAGAAACCCGAAAGAUCGAAAGCCGAGAUACAGCGUCCGCGUCGCCUGUGCUGCGUCGACGGCGUGCACUUCUCGGCCGGUAGGACGUCGCGACCCGUUGGGAGUCGCCGACGCGUAAUGGGGCACGUUCGGGAGGCUCGAGACGGCGCGGCGGGGCUCGUACCCGUCGUCUUUGCGGCCCCUCGAACCCGAGCGUCCUCGCUCAGCGUUUGGCACGCCCGACGCGACAUUCAAACGAUACGUUCGUUCGGCGGUUGCGCUACAGUGGCGCGCCCGGCCUCGUCGUCGCGCUUACGCGCCGCGGCGAGUGUUCUCGGGCGUGCGCGCCUAAUCGCGCGUACACCGAUGUCCGAUCGUCAGCGACGCUUUUGCUUUGGGCGUUUUCAGGACCCGUCUUGAAACACGGACCAAGGAGUCCAACGUGCGCGCGAGUCAAUGGGAGCAAACAGAUAAACCCAAAGGCGAAGCGAAAGCGAAGGUCGUUCGGGGGCGGGAGGCAACUCUCGCAUCCCGUCGGCCGUUGGGAGGAUGGGUCGCGCCCGUCGCGAUCCCGCACUCCCGGGGCGUCUCCAUCAGGCAUCGUCGUCGACGUUCGCGUCGUCGUUCGGCGCCGGAGGCGCACCUCUAGCGCGCACGCUGGGACCCGAAAGAUGGUGAACUAAA
rnacentral:rRNA from 1 species